rnacentral:pre_miRNA from 1 species
AAAGUACUCCCUCUGUCCGAAAAUACUUGUCAUCAAAAUGGACAAAAAAGAAUGUAUCUAGAACUAAAAUACAUCUAGAUACAUCCCCUUUUAUUCAUUUUGAUGAUAAGUAUUUCCGGACGGAGCGAGUAUAUA